rnacentral:rRNA from 1 species
UAUUAUUUUAUCUAUAAAGUUAGGGCUUGAGUAGUAUUAGUUAAGAUCUUGAAACUCAAAGAAUUUGGCGGUGUUUUAGUCUUAUCAGAGGAAUCUGCCCUUUAAUCGAUAUUACACGUUAAAUGUUGCUUGAUUUUGUAAGGUCAAUUUGUAUACCGCCGUCAUAAGAAUAUCUUUUUAGGGAGUGAAUUUUCUGGAUGUUUGAGAAAGAAUAUGUCAGGUCAAGGUGCAGUUUAUAAUCAAGAAGAGGUGGAUUACAAUAAAGUUAUUUAAAUGGAUUUUGUAAUGAGAUUUAGAGAUGAAGGUGGAUUUGAAAGUAAUAUUAUUAUAUUAAGAUAAUAUGAUUUAAGCUCUAAAAUAUGUACACAUCGCCCGUCACUCUCAUUAUUAAGAUGAG